rnacentral:snoRNA from 1 species
CUGCACUGUCUUUGAACCUUGUUGGCCAUAUCUGUGACCUCCUAGGCCAAGCUACAGUGCUAAAACAACACCAGGCUUGUUCAUAACUGGGGCCUCUUGGCAAAACUCCCAGGUUGCUCUUUUAAAAGCAAGUCACAACU